GUUUUACUGGCUGUCAGACCAGGAAUAUGGGAUGCGUCGGGGUUCCAGCAGGAGCCCAUGAGUGUGCGGUUUGCCGGCUGCAGAGGCCUGUGUGAACGGGUUCCCAGUGCGAGAUGAGGGCCAGCAGCAGGAGGGGGCGGUGGGGGAAAGCCCGCUUUCGCCCCUGUGGGCUGGGCCGCCUCGCCACGCACCCUGCCUCCACGGCCCCGAGUUCCCCACCCACAGAACAGGGUGCCAGCACACUAGGCUGCAUCAGAAGGCCAGGUGGUCACUGCUAAACUCGCCUUGGAGAGAGGAAGCCUGGAUUAUCUGUCAGGUCCAGGGGGACGAUGCUCCAUUGGGCCCCCAGCUUCAUGGGGCUGCUACCUUGGUCUGGAGACCCUCCGUGUGUGAGGAGUUUGCACCCUUCAGAGUUUCAGCUGGAAAGUGGAUCUAUCGUCUUGGUGCUUCAGAGGAAACUUCUACAAUAUUCAGAUGGACGGGGCUCUCAGCCCCUCGACCACAAGGCUGUUCCAGCCUGAGCAGCUGCCAAGUCUGGCCCCACUCCAGAGGACCGAGUGCUUGCAUCUGUCCCACUUCCCUUGGCAUGAAGGCCCCUGGCUGUCAGGGUGGGGCAGAGCUCCAGAGCCAGCCUUGGUGCUGGGACCCGGCCGAGCGAGGAGCUGCGGUGCCCAGGCCACAUGGCGUUCCCUGGUGAGGAGACGAUGUGAUGGCCACCAACACCCUUGGAACCCGUGUCGGCCCCAGUGCGAGUCAAGUGGACCCCUGCUGUCCUCCCGAGAAGUGUGACCAUUUAGUCUGAGGGGAGGGACAGUGGCAUCCUGAACCCCCACAGUGGCUGAGAAGGCUUCCAGCUGCCCAGCUGCCCUCUCUGCCCAGGAGGAGACGCUAUGCCAAGGCCCAGCUGUGGGAGAGUCUGCGUUUCCCGUGCCAUCCACUUGGAAAGGGCCUUCGUGCAGUCAGG
rnacentral:lncRNA from 1 species